rnacentral:rRNA from 1 species
GACAGAGGGGGCAAGCGUUGCUCGGAAUCACUGGGCGUAAAGGGCGCGUAGGCGGGAUGGCAAGUCAGUCGUGAAAUCUCUCGGCUCAACCGAGAAACGUCGGCUGAUACUGCCGUUCUUGAGGGAUGCAGAGGAGACUGGAAUUCCCGGCGUAGCGGUGAAAUGUGUAGAGAUCGGGAGGAACACCGGUGGCGAAGGCGGGUCUCUGGGCAUUUCCUGACGCUGAGGCGCGAAAGCGUGGGGAGCAAACGGG